CGGGACGGGUGAGUAACGCGUGGGUAACCUGCCUCACACAGGGGGAUAGCAGUUGGAAACGGCUGAUAAUACCGCAUAAGCGCACAGUACCGCAUGGUACAGUGUGAAAAACUCCGGUGGUGUGAGAUGGACCCGCGUCUGAUUAGCUUGUUGGCAGGGUAACGGCCUACCAAGGCAACGAUCAGUAGCCGACCUGAGAGGGUGACCGGCCACAUUGGGACUGAGACACGGCCCAGACUCCUACGGGAGGCAGCAUG
rnacentral:rRNA from 1 species